GCCGGGGUGGCAGAACCCGGUCAUUGCGCUGGUCUCGAAAACCAGUGGACGCAAGUCCUUACGAGUUCAAAUCUCGUCCCCGGCG
rnacentral:tRNA from 1 species